CAGAUGUCCCUAUGGGCAAGGAUUAAACACAGAGUUUAAUCUGCCCUGGACUAGAAGUCAAGAUGAGCGGUCUCCAGCCCUGGUUCUGCAACUCUUCUGAUGGGCAGCUUUCAGCGUUCAUGACAUGACAUUGGACAUCACUGCUCCUGGUUCUUGGGCUUUUGGACUUGGACUGAAUUAUACCACUAGCUUUGCUGGUUCUCUAGCUUGCAGAUGGCAGAUCAUGGGACUUCUUGGCCUCUAUAACUUGGCCUCUAUAACCAGGGAGACACGGAGGUCAUCAAACAACACAAGCAGAGUUGUAACUGUUGGUCUGGCAAGGCCAGGAUUCCAUUCAGACUCUGCGGUUUUUAGGACUCGCGUCUCUUAGGCAGGUUCUGGAGGUAGC